GAUGAACGCUAGCGGCAGGCUUAACACAUGCAAGUCGAGGGGUAGAGGUUGCUUGCAACCUUGAGACCGGCGCACGGGUGCGUAACGCGUAUGCAACCUACCUUUUACAGAGGGAUAGCCCAGAGAAAUUUGGAUUAAUACCUCAUAGUAUAUAACCUUCGCAUGUUGGUUAUAUUAAAGUUCCAACGGUAAAAGAUGGGCAUGCGUCCUAUUAGCUAGAUGGUAAGGUAACGGCUUACCAUGGCUACGAUAGGUAGGGGUCCUGAGAGGGAGAUCCCCCACACUGGUACUGAGACACGGACCAGACUCCUACGGGAGGCAGCAGUGAGGAAUAUUGGACAAUGGGCGCAAGCCUGAUCCAGCCAUGCCGCGUGCAGGAAGACGGUCCUAUGGAUUGUAAACUGCUUUUGUACGGGAAGAAACACUCCUACGUGUAGGAGCUUGACGGUACCGUAAGAAUAAGGAUCGGCUAACUUCGUGCCAGCCGCCGCCGUAAGAC
rnacentral:rRNA from 1 species